GACGAACGCUGGCGGCGUGCCUAAUACAUGCAAGUCGAACGCAGUUGGGACGGGUGAGUAACACGUGGUUAACCUCCCAUCAGAGGGGAUAACACUUGGAAACACGUGCUAAACCGAUACUGAUGGAUGGACACGGAGUGCAUUAGCUAGUGGGUGAGGUAACGGCUCACCAAGGCCACGAUGCAUAGGCGACCGGAGAGGGUGAUCGGCCAAACUGGGACUGGGACACGGCCCAGACUCCUACGGGAGGCAGCAUUAGGGAAUCUUCGGCAAUGGACGAAAGUCUGACCGAGCAACGCCGCGUGAGUGAAGAAGGUUUUCGGAUCGUAAAACUCUGUUGUUAGAGAAGCGGUAUCUAACCAGAAAGCCACGGCUAACUACGUGCCAGCCGCCGCGGUAAUAC
rnacentral:rRNA from 1 species